rnacentral:rRNA from 1 species
AUACGUAGGUGACAAGCGUUAUCCGGAUUUACUGGGCGUAAAGGGCGUGUAGGCGGUCUUGCAAGUCAGAAGUGAAAUUCCUGAGCUCAACUCGGGCGCUGCUUCUGAAACUGCAGGACUUGAGUGCUGGAGGGGAUAGCGGAAUUCCUAGUGGAGCGGUAAAAUGCGCAGAUAUUAGGAAGAACACCGGUGGCGAAGGCGGCUAUCUGGACAGUAACUGACGCUGAGGCGCGAAAGCGUGGGGAGCAAACAGGAUUAGAUCCCCUGGUAGUCCACGCCGUAAACGAUGAAUACUAGGUGUAGGGGGUAUCGACUCCCUCUGUGCCGCAGUUAGCACAAUAAGUAUUCCGCCUGGGGAGUACGGCCGCAAGGUUGAAACUCAAAUGAAUUGACGGGG